rnacentral:rRNA from 1 species
GAGUUUGAUCCUGGCUCAGAUUGAACGCUGGCGGCAGGCCUAACACAUGCAAGUCGAGCGGAUGACGGGAGCUUGCUCCUUGAUUCAGCGGCGGACGGGUGAGUAAUGCCUGGGAAUCUGCCUGGUAGUGGGGGACAACGUUUCGAAAGGAACGCUAAUACCGCAUACGUCCUACGGGAGAAAGCAGGGGACCUUCGGGCCUUGCGCUAUCAGAUGAGCCUAGGUCGGAUUAGCUAGUUGGUGGGGUAAUGGCUCACCAAGGCGACGAUCCGUAACUGGUCUGAGAGGAUGAUCAGUCACACUGGAACUGAGACACGGUCCAGACUCCUACGGGAGGCAGCAGUGGGGAAUACUGGACAAUGGGCGAAAGCCUGAUCCAGCCAUGCCGCGUGUGUGAAGAAGGUCUUCGGAUUGUAAAGCACUUUAAGUUGGGAGGAAGGGCAGUAAGUUAAUACCUUGCUGUUUUGACGUUACCGACAGAAUAAGCACCGGCUAACUCUGUGCCAGCCGCCG